UGCAUCUGCAGCCCAUGAGGAUGAGAACCUCCGGGGGCAGGGAGGUUCGACUCGAGCGAAGCGAGAGAACGUUGCGCCAGCAACGGCCCGCAGGGCGAGCCACGAAGUGGCGAGUAAUCCUCUA
rnacentral:sRNA from 1 species